GGGAGUCACUCUGCCACCUGUAGAGGAUGUCUUUGAACAUGUUUUGAAAUGUGAUCUCCCUGAGGGAAUUUGUGGAAUUUGAAGAACACUGAAGAUCAUCUAGUGCUGGCUCAACACCCUAAAGUGCUCUACACCACUAUCCGAGCAAGUAGUAGACGGUUAAUUAUUUACUUGUUCCAUGGGCUCCUGAAGGACUUAGGUGCAGAGAGAAAUAUAUUUCAGCAUUGUUUGCUCUAAGCACUGUAGUCUUUAAGUUUUAUACAGGUUUAUAACUAUAUUUUUUUUCUUAAAAAAAAAAUCAAUCAAACAAACAAACAUGUUAUUUCUUGCAGAAACUCUAACAAGAUUCGCAAAGAAACACCCCAAAUUGGUAUGCAAGC
rnacentral:lncRNA from 1 species